rnacentral:rRNA from 1 species
UACGGAAGGCAGCAGUGGGGAAUAUUGCACAAUGGGCGCAAGCCUGAUGCAGCCAUGCCGCGUGUAUGAAGAAGGCCUUCGGGUUGUAAAGUACUUUCAGUCGUGAGGAAGGUGUUAAGGUUAAUAACCUUAGCAAUUGACGUUAGCGACAGAAGAAGCACCGGCUAACUCCGUGCCAGCAGCCGCGGUAAUACGGAGGGUGCGAGCGUUAAUCGGAAUUACUGGGCGUAAAGGGCACGCAGGCGGUUAAUUAAGUUGGAUGUGAAAUCCCCGGGCUUAACCUGGGAAUGGCAUUCAAGACUGGUUAGCUAGAGUCUUGUAGAGGGGGUUAGAAUUCCAUGUGUAGCGGUGAAUGCGUAGAGAUGUGGAGGAAUACCGGUGGCGAAGGCGGCCCCUGGACAAAGACUGACGCUCAUGUGCGAAAGCGUGGGGAGCAAACAGGGAUUAGAUACC